AGACGUGUAUUAGAGAUCAAAAAGACGUCUGAUUCUAGAGAUACUAUUUUUGCUCUGUUUUAGAUGCAUAUUAGAUGCAUAAAAUAGAUCGUGCAUAGAUAAUUUUUUUUUCAUCUAAACUUAGAUGUCUAUAAGAUGUCUUUUAUAGAUUUGUUAUAAAAACAAGAAAAAAAUUUUAACUAAUUUUACGGAGCGAUAAUUAUAAAUGACCGCCAUUUAAAAACCCUUCGGAAACUUAUUUCGAUAAAAGCAUGAAGAUUUUAACCUAAGGAAGACAUCAAUGAUUAUUUCUUUUGAUAAAUUUUAAAUAAUAAAUAACAUGCUAUUAUAGUUCACAAAAUAUUUCGAUGAUUUGAUGCUUAGAAUGUUUGCUAAAAUCCUUGUGAUUUGAAAUUUAUUUUGCAGAAAUAUUACAAAAGUGUUGUUCAAUAACACAAAAGAUUGUUUUAUUGGUUGUGCACUUAUCGUUUUUAUCGAUGAACCAAGAAUCAUUUAUGUCUUUUACAAAAAGAGCAUACGAAAAGAGACGCAGUAGACGUGUCCAAAAAGAAUAUUAAAAAAUACUAGAAUUUUCAUCAGUACAUAUAGAAAAAAAAUCGAAUGUUGGAACUUCUAAAAGAAAUGAUUUCUUAUCUUGAAAAAAUCUAAAAGAAUAUUUUGACCAUCAUGAGUCAUUGAUUUUGUACAAUGAAUACUCUUAUAACCAAAAGCCUAAUGAGUAUAAGCAUAACCCAACUUUAAAGGAAAGUUUUUCUGCAUGUUUUUCUAACCAAGUAAUUAUGCACUAAACAAGUGGAUUGACAAAUAAGAAUAGCAACAAAUUUAUUGUAAUAACAGAAUAGCAACAAAUUUAUUGUCCCAAAAAAAAACUAUAAUCAUGCACUGAAAAACAACCUUUCGUCAACAAAAGAAUGGCACAAAUUUCCAUUGAUAAAGUAUAAGAUAACAGAUAGUCAGUAUCUAACUUGUUUUGUGUUUUUUUUAAAGAGUUGUUAUCAGAUUCAAAGAUUGAAGAAGAUAAUUUUUCUUCACAUUUUAUUGAUGAAGAGAAUAAAACAAAACAAAGUUCACAUUGUCAAAGAGUUUCAAGUUUUAAUAUGAGUAUUUUUGGUUUUUACACCACUGAAUGUUAAUGUGGAGGUCUUUUUUAUUAAUUUGUUUUUGUAUUAAAAUAAUUGUAAAAGAUAGGUAUAAAAGAAUAGAAAUGGAUUAUUUAUAAUAUUGUGAUCCGAUAAAUCAUGUGUGUAGCAUUUUACCUUUAGUAGUUAAACAAAAUUCUUUAAUAUCGUAACUUUUUACAGGAUAAAGUUUUAGCUAAUUUAAAAAGUAGUUUUUCCAAAAUAUUAUGCCAACUUCUGCGAUGGAGUAAUUAAAAAACUUACAUGUAUUUUUGGAAUUUUAGUUUGAGUUACUCAAGCAUAAUUUGAAUUUUAACUUUCUUAUUUCAUUGUUUUGCUAUUUGGUUUUAUGAGCUAAAUAUGUUAAUCAAUCUUUUUAUUCUUGUUUGUAGAGAUGCAAAAUGUUAUUCUCAACAAGCUUGCAGAAAUAAAAGUUCUUUUAAAAGAAGUUAUAGAAAUUAAGUUUCAGGCUACUGGGGUGAAGUUGCUAGAAUCAGUGGACGAAGUGGUCACACUGGAUAAUAAACUAAAAGAUAAAACCGACUAGAUAGUUUGAAAAAGAUUGGUGGUGGAAAGCCAAGAGAACAUGUUUUUUUGAUCAUGAAAAGGUUAUUUUCGAAUCAGUUACAGUCCAAAUUUAAUCGAAAAGGAAAUGGGGAAAAGAUAAGCAUAGAAAAUCUAGUAAAUAUAUGGAGUGUUAUACGAGAUAUCGGCGACGUGGAAGAAAAUGUUGACGGCAAUGAAGAAAUAUAGUUUCUUAUGUAUAUUUUUGUGAAAUAAAAAUUAAGUAAUGUUAGUUAAAA